UUCUUAUUAAAAGGGAAACAUUUUUAGAGUGUAACCUUUGUUUGGUAUUAUAUUCACAAUUUUGCUAUUUUUGCUGAUGUGUCAGCUCUAUAAUUCUCCUCGAUCUUUUUUAUAAUUGACCAACAUUUACUAGAAAAUUUACAUAAUAUGCCACUGUGACUUUAUUAAUUCCGGUCGUUCAUAUACAUAUAUUAAUGUGAUCAUUUCUCUCACACAUCGCUUUGAAAUUAUUAUUAUCUACGAACCUCUUGCAUGAAUAUAUGUAUAUUGAUCUCUUCCACUGAAAACCUACAAUAUAGUAUACAAGUCAAAAUCAACUAAUCUUAUGGUUUUGAUAUGAACAUCUAAUAAACUCGCGUUGUUCAUGUCUGUUUAUUUGACACAUUUUAUACGGAAAAAUUUCAGCUUGACACAUUGUAUGUCACAUUUUUGUGAAACAAAAAUUAUACUGAGAAAUAUAAGCAAAAUUGACACAUGUUUGUUCUAAAAUGAUUUUCAGACUGCCGGGGUUCGUAUACAAAGGAUGUAAGUAUGAACAAGUCAAAAUUCAUGGGUUUGUUUUUUUAGUCUGUAUUAUAUUAUGGUUUUACAUAGAUUUAUGUGUUUAAAUUGAGUAAAAACUAAAAAGAGAUAACUUAUAAAAAUAAAAAUGGGUAUGAUUUCGCUUUAGUUAACUUAAUGGUUUGGUAGGACACAGUCAUUUGAUAGCAAAUUGGCUAACAUUGAUUUAAGAUGUUUUGUGUCUUUUUGAAUAUAAUAAACUGAAUUUAUAUCAAAUUCAAAUUGUGCGUGUUCGUAAAGCUAAAUAGUAACUUUCAAAUCGAAAAUUUGCACGUUUUUGGAAACAAUUUAUGUAUAGAGUAAUGCAAAGUUCUUUUAUGAAGUUUUAAUGGAAACAAUAAUAUACAGUUAAUGUGAGUUUCUACAAAUAUAUUAUACCAGACAUAAAUAUAUAUAGGUCAUUGACUGUUUCUCUGCGACUUUUUCCCUUCUUAUUAACCAAUGAGCAAUUUUUGAGACUAACAUUUGUUUUGUAAGUUAUUUACAGGUGUGCCAUGCUGAUGUGACAGCACCAUAUUCAUUCUCAGCCUAUUUGUAUACUUACCCUUAAUUCACUAGAAUAAUUACAUACGAAUGCCAUUGCGAUACAUGUGAAUAAUCGACUUAUAUAAUAUACUCUUAUCGUUGAACAUAACCAAAUUAUUCGCAUUCAAUUUCUGAUACAUCCGUUUAUAGCAACCUUAAUUUACUGCAUUUAAUUUCGUGUAGUAAUUAAAUGCCUUUAAUUUAUUGUGUUUAGUUUCGUGUGUACAUAUAUAACAACUUUUGUUGAGCGACUUUAAUUUGGUCUCGAUUUUGGUAACUACUAUGAUUGGCAAUUAUGAUCCGUCCAUAAUGAUUAAACAAUCAUUUCUUUUAUCAUUCAUUCAUUUUCAAAAUAGGUAAUUAUGCUGUCAUUCUAUGAUUGGCAAUUAUGAGUCAAAAAAUAUCGGGUAUUAAUUGCAUAAUACUAUCGGAAAAAAACUUCGUGCCCAAGAUAUAAACCUAUAUAUAAUGAUAGUGGAGGUCAUUCCGAACAAAAUAAGUCGUGUAGAGCAAAUGUAAGUGUGAUUAUAUAAGGUUUCCAUUACUUUUAUUGCCUUAUAAUUCGUUGACAUGUUACUCCUUUUUAUUGUCUGAAACAUAUCCGUCUAAUGGUUUCCAGAGUUUUAACCAUAGCAUUUUCAAGCGAUAGACUAAGAAUCGUAGUGGAACUUUAUCUUUCUAAUUUACAGAAUCGAAGUUCAGACUAAGAAUCGAAGUUGAAUGAUGAUUUGAAAGUAACUAUGGUUGAUUUUUCAUCUGCUACCGAAUGAUGAUUUGAAAUUAACUUUGGUUGAUUCUAAACCUAGCCUUUCAUUGUCGAAUGAAGUGUCUGAGAAGGGGAUUCACAGUUUUACCUUUCUAAGUCGGUAAAAAAAUACUGACUUGCUUUAUCUUUCUAAGUCGAUAGAUUUUUUUUUCAAAUUAGGCCACAAGUAGCUUUCCUUAUUUCUUUUAUAUUUACUUUUAAAAAUAUUAUAUGCAGCUGUUGGUUACUCUUUGUUAUUUUAAUAUUUUUGAUUAGCAGUUAUAUAAUUUCGGUAAAUGCAUAGACUUGAUUUUUUUGGAUUGUUUUUUAUUGAUUAUUAGCUAAAACAAUAUGUACCCAAAACUUCUUUUUGAA